rnacentral:rRNA from 1 species
UACGGAGGAGGCAAGCGUUAUCCGGAAUUAUUGGGCGUAAAGCGUCCGUAGAUGGUUUUGUCAGUCUGCUGUCAAAGCACAGGGCUUAACCCUGUAAAGGCAGUGGAAACUACAAGACUAGAGUGCAGUAGGGGCAGAGGGAAUUCCCGGUGGAGCGGUGAAAUGCGUAGAGAUCGGGAAGAACGCCAAGGGCGAAGGCACUCUGCUAGGCCUGAUUUCGCGACUGACACUCAGGGACGAGAGCCAGGGGAGCGAAUGGG